UCCCUGGUGGCCUAGUGGUUAAGGAUCUGGCAUUGUCAAUGCUGUGGCACAGGUUUGAUCCCUGGCCUUGGAA
rnacentral:tRNA from 1 species